CAGCUGUCCCUACUCAGGAGUCGGUAUGCUCCUGAUCGCGCACUGCACCCCUCCCUGGCUAAAAUACGUGCAUGUAUGCAUACACACUACGGAUUUACACACAGGCGCACGCAACAAAACCGACUAACUGGCAGACUUUACGAAAAGGAAAGACUUCAAAGAAAAUGUUUAAUCAAAAUAGUAAAGUAUCCCAGCCACAGCCACAGCCAGAGACAGAGACAGAGAAGUCGUUGAACGCAGACGAAAACGGCGACGCAGAAACAAAAGGAAAUCUAAAGGCAAAAGUACGAUAGCAGAAAUCCGAAAAGAGAGACUUGAUGAGAGACUUUGGUCUUUCUCUUGUUCUCUGUACCUCAUUCCCUCUCCACUCUCCCCUCUCUCUAAGAAGGAAGCAUAUCAUUGGAACGAACAUAAACAUGGACAUGCUGGUCGGUAUAUGCCCUACUUAAAACGAUUAGCAACUUGGAUUAAGAACAGAAUGUUAAUAUUGUACAUAUUGAAGUAUAUAAGUACAUACAUAUGUACAUGCAUGCAUACGUAUGUUUAAUCCUAACUGGAAAUCCCUUAACUUUUCCUGCUUUGACCUUGAAUAAAGAUGAAAAAGCAGAAGUUCUUUAAAACUGCAUACAUUGUACAUAUGUACAUACAUUGUAUGUAUGUAUACGCACCGCACAUAAAUAAAAAAA